rnacentral:rRNA from 2 species
GACGCUGGCGGCGUGCUAAUACAUGCAAGUCGAACGAAACUUUCUUACACCGAAUGCUUGCAUUCACCGUAAGAAGUUGAGUGGCGGACGGGUGAGUAACACGUGGGUAACCUGCCUAAAAGAAGGGGAUAACACUUGGAAACAGGUGCUAAUACCGUAUAUCUCUAAGGAUCGCAUGAUCCUUAGAUGAAAGAUGGUUCUGCUAUCGCUUUUAGAUGGACCCGCGGCGUAUUAACUAGUUGGUGGGGUAACGGCCUACCAAGGUGAUGAUACGUAGCCGAACUGAGAGGUUGAUCGGCCACAUUGGGACUGAGACACGGCCCAAACUCCUACGGGAGGCAGCAGUAGGGAAUCUUCCACAAUGGACGCAAGUCUGAUGGAGCAACGCCGCGUGAGUGAAGAAGGUCUUCGGAUCGUAAAACUCUGUUGUUAGAGAAGAACACGAGUGAGAGUAACUGUUCAUUCGAUGACGGUAUCUAACCAGCAAGUCACGGCUAACUACGUGCCAGCAGCCGCGGUAAUACGUAGGUGGCAAGCGUUGUCCGGAUUUAUUGGGCGUAAAGGGAACGCAGGCGGUCUUUUAAGUCUGAUGUGAAAGCCUUCGGCUUAACCGGAGUAGUGCAUUGGAAACUGGAAGACUUGAGUGCAGAAGAGGAGAGUGGAACUCCAUGUGUAGCGGUGAAAUGCGUAGAUAUAUGGAAGAACACCNGUGGCGAAAGCGGCUCUUCUNGUCUGUAANNGNCGCUGAGGUUCGAAAGCGUGGNUNGCAACAGGAUAAU